rnacentral:rRNA from 1 species
AUCGAACGCUGGCGGCAGGCCUAACACAUGCAAGUCGAGCGAGCGGCGGACGGGUGAGUAAUGUCUGGGCAACUGCCUGAUGGAGGGGGAUCACUACUGGAAACGGUAGCUAAUACCGCAUACCAUCAGAUGUGCCCAGAUGGGAUUAGCUAGUUGGGGGGGUAACGGCUCACCUGUGCGACGCUCCCUACCUGGUCUGAGAGGAUGGCCGGCCACCCUGGGACUGAUACACGGUCCAGACUCCUACGGGAGGCAGCAGUGGGGAAUAUUGGACAAUGGGCGAAAGCCUGAUCCAGCCAUGCCGCGUGUGUGAAGAAGGUCUUCGGAUUGUAAAGCACUUUAAGUUGGGAGGCGUUACCAACAGAGUAAGCACCGGCUAACUUCGUGCCAGCAGCCGCGGUAAUUC